rnacentral:lncRNA from 1 species
UGCCUUAGUAAAGAAGUGGUAUCAGACUGGUUUGUAGUGGAGGAAUUUUUUUUGCCAGUUUCUUUCAUCUUUAAUCCGUAUUCAUGUUGUAAUGUAGUAACUUUUGUGGCACAAAUACCACAAUAUGGCAGAAAUACCAUGUUUUGGCACAAAUACUUUGAUUUGGUAUACUUUAGCUUCUUCACCCCUUUUCAGCAAAAUGUUCAUUUUUUUCACCCCUUUUC